rnacentral:rRNA from 2 species
CAGGGGAUCUUGGGCAAUGGGCGAAAGCCUGACCCAGCGACGCCGCGUGGGGGACGAAGGCCUUUGGGUCGUAAACCCCUUUUCCAGGGGACGAUAAUGACGGUACCCUGGGAAUAAGCCCCGGCUAACUACGUGCCAGCAGCCGCGGUAAAACGUAGGGGGCUAGCGUUACCCGGAAUCACUGGGCGUAAAGGGCAUGUAGGCGGCUCGGUCCGUCGUCGGUGAAAGGCCCCGGCUUAACCGGGGAGCUGCUGACGAUACCGCCGGGCUAGAGGGCAGCAGAGGUGAGCGGAAUUCCCGGCGUAGCGUUGAUAUGCGUAGAGUUCGGGAGGAACACCAGUGGCGAAGGCGGCUCACUGGGCUGUACCUGACGCUCAGGUGCGAAAGCGUGGGGAGCAAACAGG